rnacentral:rRNA from 1 species
UACGUAGGUGGCGAGCGUUGUCCGGAUUUACUGGGCGUAAAGAGCGCGCAGGCGGUCGUUCAAGUCGCGUGUGAAAGCCCCCGGCUCAACUGGGGAGGGUCACGCGAUACUGAUCGACUCGAAGGCAGGAGAGGGUAGUGGAAUUCCCGGUGUAGUGGUGAAAUGCGUAGAUAUCGUAAGGAAGACCAGUGGCGAAGGCGAAUCUCUGGACAGUUACUGACACUGAGGCACGAAGGCCAGGGGAGCAAACGGG